rnacentral:rRNA from 1 species
UGCUGCAUGGCUGUCGUCAGCUCGUGCCGUGAGGUGUAUGGUUAAGUCCUGCAACGAGCGCAACCCUCGUCGCUAGUUGAUUUCUCUAGCGAGACUGCCCCGCAAAACGGGGAGGAAGGUGGGGAUGACGUCAAGUCAGCAUGGCCUUUAUAUCUUGGGCUACACACACGCUACAAUGGAUGGCACAAUAGGUUGCAACAGCGCGAGCUGAAGCUAAUCCCCAAAGCCAUCCUCAGUACAGAUUGCAGGCUGAAACCCGCCUGCAUGAAGUCGGAGUUGCUAGUAACCGCAAAUCAGCAUGUUGCGGUGAAUACGUUCUCGGGCCUU